rnacentral:tRNA from 1 species
GGGCCUGUAGCUCAAUCGGUCAGAGCGGGCCGCUCAUAACGGUCUGGUUGCAGGUUCGAGUCCUGCCGGGCCCACCA